AUGAAGAACGUAGCGAAAUGCGAUAAGUAAUGUGAAUUGCAGAAUUCAGUGAAUCAUCGAAUCUUUGAACGCACAUUGCGCCCGUCAGUAUUCUGGCGGGCAUGCCUGUUCGAGCGUCAUUACGCCCCUCAAGUCCCCUGUGGACUUGGUGUUGGGGAUCGGCGAGGCUGGUUUUCCAGCACAGCCGUCCCUUAAAUUAAUUGGCGGUCUCGCCGUGGCCCUCCUCUGCGCAGUAGUAAAACACUCGCAACAGGAGCCCGGCGCGGUCCACUGCCGUAAAACCCCCCAACUUUUUAUAGUUGACCCCGAAUCAGGUAGGACUACCCGCUGAACUUAAGCAUAUCAAUAAGCGGAGGA
rnacentral:misc_RNA from 1 species